GCCAGGCAUGAUGGCUCAUGCCUGUAAUCCCAGCACUUUGGGAGGCCGAGGUGGGUGGAUCACCUGAGGUCAGGAGUUCAAGACCAGCCUGGCCAACAUGGUGAAACCCCAUCUCUA
rnacentral:SRP_RNA from 1 species